rnacentral:pre_miRNA from 1 species
GAUUUCAACUGAAAAAGUCAUCAACAACAAAUUUGUAUAACUCAUCGAUAUCUAUAACUUUUGUUUUGGUUAUUUCUUCAUCCGACAAAACGAUAGUAAUAUUGUUUACAAAAUGUACAUAUCUCUCUUAUAGUUUAUAAAACCAAAUGAGAGAUAUGUAAACUUUGUGAACAAUGUUACUAUCACUUUAUCGGAUGAAGAAAUAACCAAAAUAAAAGUUGUAUGUCUUAAUGAGUUCUACCUUUUAUGUUCAUAACUUUUUCAGCUGAAUA